UGGGGAAUUUUGGACAAUGGGCGAAAGCCUGAUCCAGCAAUGCCGCGUGCAGGAUGAAGGCCCUCGGGUUGUAAACUGCUUUUGUACGGAACGAAAAGCCUGGGGCUAAUAUCCCCGGGUCAUGACGGUACCGUAAGAAUAAGCACCGGCUAACUACGUGCCAGCAGCCGCGGUAAUACGUAGGGUGCAAGCGUUAAUCGGAAUUACUGGGCGUAAAGCGUGCGCAGGCGGUUAUGUGAGACAGAUGUGAAAUCCCCUGGCUCAACCUGGGAACUGCAGUUGUGACUGCAUAGCUGGAGUGCGGCAGAGGAGGAUGGAAUUCCGCGUGUAGCAGUGAAAUGCGUAGAUAUGCGGAGGAACACCGAUAGCGAAGGCAAUCCCCUGGGCCUGCACUGACGCUCAUGCACGAGAGCGUGGGGAGCAAACA
rnacentral:rRNA from 1 species